GUAAUACCGGCGCCUCAAGUGGUAGUCGCUUUUAUUGGGCCUAAAACGUCCGUAGCCGGUUUGGUACAUUCGUGGGUAAAUCAAGGCGCUCAACGUCUUGAAUUCUGCGAGCACGGCCAGACUUGGGACCGGGUGAGGUGUGGGGUACUCUCAGGGUAGGGGUAAAAUCCUGUCAUCCUGAGAGGACCACCUGUUGCGAAGGCGCCACACUAGAACGGAUCCGACGGUCAGGGACGAAGCCUAGGGGCACGAACCGGAUUAGAUACCCGGGUAGUCCUAGGUGUAAACGCUGUGGACUUGAUGUUGGGAGUGCUCCGAGCACCCUCAGUGUCGAAGCGAAGGUGAUAAGUCCACUGCCUGGGGAGUACGGUCGCAAGGCUGAAACUUAAAGGAAUUGGCGGGGGAGCACUGCAACCUGAGGAUUGUGCGGUUUAAUUGGAUUCAACGCCGGAAAACUCACCAUAGCCGACGGACAUAUGAAGGCCAGCGUAAUGAGCUUGCUGGAUUGUUCGAGAGGUAGUGCAUGGCCGUCGUCAGUUCGUACCGCAAGGCGUUCUGUUAAGUCAGAUAACGAACGAGACCCUCAUCCCUAUUUGCCAAGGUCUGUCCGCAGAUCACGGGACUAUAGGGAGACCGCUGGCGCGAAGUCAGAGGAAGGCGAGGGCAACGGUAGGUCAGUAUGCUCCGAAUGCUAUGGGCUACACGCGCAAUAC
rnacentral:rRNA from 1 species